CUCUACACUCACAGGGCUGGGGACGGGACAGUCGCCGGCGUGCACCCGCUGGUGGGACAGCAGCUUGGAGGAGCGGGUGAAGCCCUUGCCGCCCCGGGCGCAGGUGUAGGUAUGAUCGCCGGUGUGGGUACGCUGGUGUUGCAGCAGGCUGCUGGACUGGGUGAAGCCCUUGCCACACUGGGCACAGGUGUAGGGACGCUCGCCGGUGUGGGUGCGCUGGUGCCUCAGGAAGUUGCUGGAGUGGGUGAAGCCCUUGCCGCACUGGGCGCAGGUGUAGGGCCGCUCACCGGUAUGAGUGCGCUGGUGCAGCACCAGUUUCAUGGAUUGAGUGAAGUCCUUGCCACACUGGGCACAGGUGUAGGGG